UACAGAGGGUGCAAGCGUUGUUCGGAUUUAUUGGGCGUAAAGCGCGUGUAGGCGGCUUUGUGUGUCGGGUGUGAAAGCCCUCGGCUUAACCGAGGAAGUGCGCCCGAAACUGCAGAGCUUGAGUGCCGGAGAGGAUAGCGGAACACCCGGUGUAGAGGUGAAAUUCGUAGAUAUCGGGAGGAACACCAGUGGCGAAGGCGGCUAUCUGGGCUGAAACUGACGCUGAGGCGCGAAGGCUAGGGGAGCAAACAGG
rnacentral:rRNA from 1 species